UCAGUAACMCGKGGGAUAACCUWCCCCUUAGGACCSGGGAUAACCCUGGGGAAAYUGGGGSYUAAUWMCUGGAAUAAGAUGAUUUUUUCCUGGGAAAUGGUUUUUUUGKUUWAAAAUGUUUUUUUCGCCUAAGGAAUGGGGUCUGCGGGCAGAUUAGGGUAGUUKGGUUAGGUAAUGGCYUUACCAAGCCUAUGAUCUGUACGGGUUGKKGGGAGCAAGAGCCCGGAGAUGGAACCUGAGACAAGGUUCCAGGCCYUACGGGGCGCAGCAGGCGCGAAACCUCCGCAAKGUGAGAAAUCGCGACGGGGGAAUCMCAAGUGCCAUUCUUAACGGGAUGGCUUUUSUUAAGURUAAAAAGCUUUUGGAAUAAGAGCUGGGCAAGACCGGUGCCAGCCGCCGCGGUAACACCGGCAGCUCUAGUGGUARMUGUUUUUAUUGGGCCUAAAGCGUUCGUAGCCGGUUUGAUAAGUCACUGGUGAAAUCCUGUAGCUUAACUGUGGGAAUUGCUGGUGAUACUGUUGAACUUGAGGUCGGGAGAGGUWAGCGGUACUCCCAGGGUAGAGGUGAAAUUCUGUAAUCYUGGAAGRACCACCUGUGGCGAAGGCGGCUAACUGGAACGAACCUGACGGUGAGGGACGAAAGCUAGGGGCYCCACCCGUUUGAUACCCGGGUAGUCCUACCGAACGGGGGGGCCUCCUCGAUGGCUUGAGCCGCUCCGGUACCCAAAGGAARMUGUUAAGGCSGGCCYKCCUGGGAAG
rnacentral:rRNA from 1 species